rnacentral:rRNA from 1 species
AUUGAACGCUGGCGGCAGGCCUAACACAUGCAAGUCGAGCGGUAGCACAGAGAGCUUGCUCUCGGGUGACGAGCGGCGGACGGGUGAGUAAUGUCUGGGAAACUGCCUGAUGGAGGGGGAUAACUACUGGAAACGGUAGCUAAUACCGCAUAACGUCGCAAGACCAAAGUGGGGGACCUUCGGGCCUCAUGCCAUCAGAUGUGCCCAGAUGGGAUUAGCUAGUAGGUGGGGUAACGGCUCACCUAGGCGACGAUCCCUAGCUGGUCUGAGAGGAUGACCAGCCACACUGGAACGGAGAGACGGUCCAGACUCCUACGGGAGGCAGCAGUGGGGAAUAUUGCACAAUGGGCGCAAGCCUGAUGCAGCCAUGCCGCGUGUGUGAAGAAGGCCUUCGGGUUGUAAAGCACUUUCAGCGGGGAGGAGGGCGGUGAGGUUAAUAACCUCAUCGAUUGACGUUACCCGCAGAAGAAGCACCGGCUAACUCCGUGCCAGCCGCCGCCGUAACAC